rnacentral:tRNA from 1 species
GAGGAUAUAGCUCACUUGGUAGAGUGCUUGCCUUGCAUGCACAAGGCCCUGGGUUUGAUUCCCAGCACACACA